rnacentral:rRNA from 1 species
GACGAACGCUGGCGGCGUGCCUAAUACAUGCAAGUCGAACGCUGAAGGAGGAGCUUGCUUCUCUGGAUGAGUUGCGAACGGGUGAGUAACGCGUAGGUAACCUGCCUGGUAGCGGGGGAUAACUAUUGGAAACGAUAGCUAAUACCGCAUAAGAGUAGAUGUUGCAUGACAUUUGCUUAAAAGGUGCAAUUGCAUCACUACCAGAUGGACCUGCGUUGUAUUAGCUAGUUGGUGGGGUAACGGCUCACCAAGGCGACGAUACAUAGCCGACCUGAGAGGGUGAUCGGCCACACUGGGACUGAGACACGGCCCAGACUCCUACGGGAGGCAGCAGUAGGGAAUCUUCGGCAAUGGACGGAAGUCUGACCGAGCAACGCCGCGGGAGUGAAGAAGGGUGUCGGAUCGUAAAGCUCUGUUGUAAGAGAAGAACGAGUGUGAGAGUGGAAAGUUCACACUGUGACGGUAGCUUACCAGAAAGGGACGGCUAACUACGUG